CCUGCCCCUAAGUCUGGGAUACCAUUUGGAAACAGGUGCUAAUACCGGAUAAUAAAGCAGAUCGCAUGAUCAGCUUUUGAAAGGCGGCGUAAGCUGUCGCUAAGGGAUGGCCCCGCGGUGCAUUAGCUAGUUGGUAAGGUAACGGCUUACCAAGGCGACGAUGCAUAGCCGAGUUGAGAGACUGAUCGGCCACAUUGGGACUGAGACACGGCCCAAACUCCUACGGGAGGCAGCAGUAGGGAAUCUUCCACAAUGGACGCAAGUCUGAUGGAGCAACGCCGCGUGAGUGAAGAAGGUUUUCGGAUCGUAAAGCUCUAUUGUUGGUGAAGAAGGAUAGAGGUAGUAACUGGCCUUUAUUUGACGGUAAUCAACCAGAAAGUCACGGCUAACUACGUGCCAGCAGGCCGCGGUAAUACGUAGGUGGCAAGCGUUGUCCGGAUUUAUUGGGCGUAAAGCGAGCGCAGGCGGAAAAAUAAGUCUAAUGUGAAAAGCCCUCGGCUUAACCGAGGAACUGCAUCGGAAACUGUUUUUCUUGAGUGC
rnacentral:rRNA from 1 species